CGAGUGGUUUUUCAUUCUUUCGAUUGUACACACAAAUUAAAAAUUGGAAAUAAGCAAAUGGACCAAAUGUGGGGUUUCAUGUUGACAUUUUUGAUAUCCAAUUUGGUUUGACCUGGAAGUUAUUGACUUCUUUAUGUGUUGAGUUGGACAGUCGUGGGUUUGCUGGUAUUCUGUCUAAUACAUUCUGCGAUAAUGGAGAAUUUGGUGUUAUUCAGAGGCAGCAAAUGCGUUACUGUGAAGGAGGAUGACAUGACAACUGUAAAAAUGGUCCAGAUCAAACAGAU